GACGAACGCUGGCGGCGUGCUUAACACAUGCAAGUCGAACGGAAAGGCCCUGCUUUUGUGGGGUGCUCGAGUGGCGAACGGGUGAGUAACACGUGAGUAACCUGCCCUUGACUUUGGGAUAACUUCAGGAAACUGGGGCUAAUACCGGAUAGGAGCUCCUGCUGCAUGGUGGGGGUUGGAAAGUUUCGGCGGUUGGGGAUGGACUCGCGGCUUAUCAGCUUGUUGGGGGGGUAGUGGCUUACCAAGGCUUUGACGGGUAGCCGGCCUGGGAGGGUGACCGGCCACAUUGGGACUGCGAUACGGCCCAGUGUCCUACGGGAGGCAGCAGUGGGGAAUAUUGCACAAUGGGCGGAAGCCUGAUGCAGCAGCGCCGCGUGCGGGAUGACGGCCUUCGGGUUGUAAACCGCUUUCGCCUGUGACGAAGCGUGAGUGACGGUAAUGGGUAAAGAAGCACCGGCUAACUACGUG
rnacentral:rRNA from 1 species